UAGAAUUUUUCCAAAAGUUUCCUUUAGAAGCUCCUAAAAUUCGGAUAGCCUCACAUGAUUUAACUACUGAAGUUUGAACAAGAAAGGAAGGGAAAAACAGAGGGCAAUCAAAAGACAAAGAUUAAGAAAAGAAAAGCAAAGCGAAGUUAAAUAGGAAUCUAGUGGAGCGACUGUGCUAGCAAAGAGAAGGAGACGGGAGGUACAACCAUACGGAAGGACAAUUAAAUAAUUUGAAAAGUAGCCAAGGUAUCAGGUUGGGUUGCUACUGCCAAGUCUAGAAUCUUGUGUGUGAAUGGAGAAAAGAACAAUGGAACGUCUUUUGUUUAAGAUGUAAAUAUUGUAGUAGAAUUUAAUAGUGUAACUUGUCAUUAACAAUUUAGUUUGUCAGAAAUUGCAUAACGGGCCUAUAAUUUGUUUUUAAAUUGUAAACUAUUAAACAGGUACUCUGAUGUAGGAUGACGUUAUGUUGAGUGAAGUUAAUGCAGAUGGUUUGAUGCAUUCCAAGUUGUUCAAUUUAUUAAAUAGUGUAAAUUGGGCUGGGGUGUGUCAACUAUGCUCUGUUUACAUUUCCUAUUAAGGGCUGGAUUUUACCUUUAGAGCACUGGGACCAGAUGGUAAAGGGGCGGUAGAAAGGCAAGGCGAAGUCCACAACUGGCAAAGGGUCACCAUCCGAUUCGUCUUCCACUUUUAAUAGUUAGGGUUCUUCACCGCCUAAGAAGGGUUACAAACGUCGUCAAAUAAUCUCUGGUGGCUCUUCAGUGGCUCAGUCGAAAGGGGAUAAAAGGCGUAAGGGGAUGACAGGUGGUGCUAUGAGUCAGAUGGCUUCGUUCAGUCCUCCUAGUAGUUUGGCUGGUGUUAAUUCAGCUUCCUCAGGCGGCAUGGGGGCGUACUUGACGGAUUCUUUCACUUAUGAUUCCUCCCAAUCGUUUGCAAUGAAAAUUGUCAUUUUGGUGGGUGCUGGACGAUCUCCUCCUCAAGAAAUUGCUUAAGCUUUGGUUCUCAUGACGGUAGUCAUGUCUUAGCUUAUGAAUAGGUUUCUUUAAAGUAGUCUGAUUUCUUGUGUUUGUGGUUCUUUUGUAAUGUUGUUAUGUUGUUGUUUGUUUUUUGAUGUUCCUGUACUAGCCUGGCUCCUUCUUGUCAGGACCAAAAAAAGAAA